ACUCUGGCCGAGGCUUUUGUUUAAUUCGGACGCUCCAACUCUAAGACUUGGCAGUGGGAAAAAAAAAAUACAUAUGUUUAUUUGACUGACCUGUUUGCAAGUCUCCUCUGGCCUCCGCCCUCCUUUCCGGCCCUAUGGACUUUGACCAAGAUGUUUUCUCUUAGAACUUUUGCAGGGUUUUAAGCUUAACCCUCUCUGUUUCUUUGUUUAAUAUGUUCCAACGGAGACAGUUCUGUGGCGGCGACAUCUCCUAUUUCAGAUAUACAGCCCUGAAGAGUUUGCUUUUUUCCCCUCAUUUUUUCCUCCCUGCGGUAAUAAAUCCCAUUAUGGAGACCCAGAAACUUUAUGAAGGGAUAUAGUUUGAAUUCUGUGGAGUGUAAUUUUGUGUAUGAAUUAUAUUUUUAAAAUAUGAAGGGUUUUCAGAAAGAAGGCUAGUAAAGUUAAUUACUGGUGCAUUAUUCAUGAGUAGUGGUUCUGCUGGUAAUAAAAUAUCUUGUUAGGUAUUUGUGAUAACACUAGGAAGGACAAGCUGUAUCUUGAUAAAUUGAUUUAACUGCAAAAUGAAUGAUAUUAUAGAUGCAUGAUUCGUAAAUGAAAGACAGGGUAUUUAAUUGUUUUGUAAAAAGUUUCUGUUGUUGAAAGUUUAUGGCUAAAACUAGUUAAGUUUAUGGAGAAGACACCUUCAAUGGAUCAAGUAAAAUAAAGUGGAAUGCAAAGUUAGACAACAUAGUAAUGAUGCUGCAGGAAAUGGAAACAAAUAUAGACCAUAUUUAACAAAGAUGGAAGAGUUGGCAGUUUGUGAACUUUAAGUAAAAUUUAUUUCAUUUGAUGUAGACACUGUAACAUGCAUAGGUUCCAUGAAGCUUGUAGGUGUUGACAUUGCCAAAAGUUGUUAACAGAAGCUAAUUUAACCUUAAGUAAUUACUGUGGUGAUAAGCUAUGUGAAAUUAGCCUUUAGAUAAUGUGACCAUAUGAAGACUUUAACAGAAUAAAAUAUUUUUUAAAAAUAUCGUAUUAAAGUGCUUAUGGGGAAAGAAGCCUGAAUAUAGUUUUUUCCUCCUGUAGAAUCCUGUAGAAGUUGGCUUGAUAUCCAGACUUUGUAACUUGUAACCCAAUGCAAAUUAAAGGCAUAAUUUAGGUAUUCUAGCCUUGUUUGGAAUUUUGGGAAUAUAAACCUCCUUGAAAAAUCAAGGAGUUUUAACAUAUUUUCAGAACUGUGUCAACUUCUUUCAGGUCAUUAGGUUAACUGUUACACCAAGUAAUGAGCAAAUAGCACUUGAGAUACUUAAAAGAGUUAAUAUAAUCCCCAAGAGUUUUAAAUGAUAUCUUGGUAAUUUAGGAGAGAGAUUCAUCCUACCUGAGUAUAAACUCAAGUAUAAAUCCAGCAAAGAAGGUGUUGUGAAUUUUACAUAAGCAGGAGCCUAUCAUUUGAUUCUUUUUUAUGGAAAAAAUCUAAUUUAGUAUUGAAGAGAUGAGAAAUUUCAUGUGAAGGAUUUUAGCC
rnacentral:lncRNA from 1 species